AGAAGCUCCACCAUAAAUCUGCAGAAACUGUUCAGACCAGUUGAGUGAUUCAGUCAGCCUGAAGCCGUUAAGGGAACUUUCGGAUGAUCAAUCAAUUACUUAAAGAUUAACUAGGAAAAUGUGAAUUCUAAAAUUUACAUGGACAACAUUAGUUUAAGAGUUAACAAAGCAGAAGAAUUCUCUGUCAGGAUCAUUUGUUUGGGGAAAAAACUUGUUUUCAUGUGAUUACAACUGUUACCCAGAGAAGUGGAUGUUACACUGGCCAGAAGAGAAAAGUUUAAAAGUGGAAUUUAUAUCAUUUCUUGACAGUUGUCAACUGACAUCAACAUAUUAGUAGUUUUAUCCAUCCAUCCUUCCAUCCAUUGUUAACCGCUUAUCCUGCGUACAGGGUCGUGGGGGGCUGGAGCCAAUCCCAGCUGACAUCGGGCGAAAGGAACAGCAUUCACAGACACAAAGUGCUCUGACUGCAGCGUUGGAACAUUUUCAGAUGGGACAUUUACGUCCUGUCAGCCGCACACACAAUGUGAAUCAAUAAACCUGAAAGCAGGAACUGCUUCAACCGAUGCUGAAUGUGGAGAACAAAGUUCAGACAGGACAGGAGUUGUGAUCGGUGCUGCUGUUGGGGGGAUUCUUUGUUUAUUAAUUUUAAUAUUUGGGCUUGUUGCUUUUUUCUAUGUCAAAAAGAAGAAAGGACGUCUAAACAGAGAAGACAUUCCACAACUGGAACAUUUUAUUACAAGAAGAAAUCAGAUGCAAACAAUCCCCAACAGAACAGAAACGUGAAUGGAGAAGAAAUACCAGGUGAAUGUCCUGCACACGGCGCUACAAGCUGAACACUCUACAGAAGUGCUGGUCUACAGUCUGGAUCAUUAUCUCAAACAUAUGUUACUGUACAGAGACUGAAGUCAGCCUGGAAUAACAACGUGGAGCAAGCUGCAGACUUCCAGUCAAUCAUCUUCAUGUGACUGUACAUGUAGGCUUCUUUCUUCUUCUGUGGUGGUCACAGAGCUUACGGCUGGAUCUGAACACAGACAGACUGAAACUGGACUUCAUCUGUCAUAAACCAGAACAAAGAGCUGGAACAGAAGAAAGAUUCAAUCUGAACUGCAACAUGAUGGACAAAUGGUGACUGAUAAAAGCAGGGAAGCUGGAUAGUGUGCAGGUACAGCUCCAGGUGGGUACAGGUGAAGCACCAAAGCAGCGUGUGGUAGGAGGAGAGGUAGUCCACAUGCCAAAAUUUUUGGGGAACAUGAAUUCCUGGAAGCCUGUGUUUUAACAAGGCGUUAAAUGGAAAUCCAGUCGGAUGUUGUUAUGGAGCCAGUGUGGAUUUGUGCAUUUUAUAUCAAAUAAAUUUGGAGAUCCCAAAGUCUUUCUCUCUCCCUGAGAGAAAGAAAAGGAGGGGGUUUGAGAUAUCAACCCUCAACAGACAGCUGAAGCAACCAAAGGAGGAGGUGAAAGGUUUGCUUUCCCUAAGGGCUGUUUCUGGGCAGUUCGAUCAUAAAACUGGUCACCUUUUGGCAGCAGCCGAGACAAGGCUCUGUGCCUGACUGUUAAAAUGACAAAGAAACACUAAUCAGACAUUUUCUUUCUCCUGAACAGCCUAUCAGAACUCUUUUUAAGAGAGGGCAAGAAACCCUAAACUGCCCCCCGCACACGUAACCAUGGCAACUGACCUCCCUCUUUGUUUAAUUACCCCACAUCAAAGGAUAUUCUCCUCUUCACGCCCUGAUGUGAGAAACUCUAGAACACCAGAGGACAGCCCUGAACUCUUUGUGUAAACAAAGAGUACUGUCUCCUCAAAACUCAAAGCAUUACCUUGUUUAAUUAAAUAAUCUUUAAAUUACUUAA